GGUGCCAGAGAGCGUGUUAGCACAGCGGGGAGCACUCGCGCAUAAUUAAAAUGAGAAGCUAAGCAGCAAAACGACAUGCCUUUGGAUGUAGAAGGAAUGAGAGCGCAAAGUUGUGAUACAAAUUUUUAAAACUCUAGUUAUAAAAACACCCACUCUAGAGCAUUUCCAUGCCGAUAAGUACAUUUUUCAUCAAAAGCACUAAAACCAGCUGACAUUAUAUGAAACAAAUAACACAUAAUGCAUCACAAAUACGAAAGCCGUAACAGUGAUUCAAUCCGAAAGGCCUGCUGGCUACCUUGGGCAUACAGUUAAGAGGCACUAAUGGAACAAACGUGGAAAUGGAGGCACCAACCUUUCCACCCAUUCUCUUUGAUGUUGCCUCUCUGUUUCCUGUCUUAUCAAAGACCGCAGCUCCUUGGAAGCCUAUUAAAUAAAUUUGUACUCCUCCCAGCUUAAACUCGGGAGCCUCAGUGGCUCGGCUAAACGUGGGGAGGAAUACCGCGGAAGCCGAACAGGAAAAGGUCCUGAAGCACACACAUCAAUCAUAUCUAUUGUGUGCUGAAUUAUACAACAUUCUGGACUGACCUUUAAAACCCAUUAAUCUCAACCAAUAUUUUCACCCUGUUUGCCAUCCUUCAUGUUCAUUUUUUUUCCUUCUUUUUGCUAUCUGUUUUCACUGCUUUGAAUCUUUUCUCUGUUCUCGCUCUCCGUGUUUUAUUGUUGUUGUUGUUGCUGCGUGUUGGAAUGUCCUUCCCUGCUUGCUUCCCUCGUUCUCACUCAUUAAGUCUCUCCCUGUUUCUGUUUUUUUCCCCAGCACCUCUCUGGCCUCCUCCUGGUCUUAGCUUUUAUCUCGCUCGCAAGAUGGGAUCCAUUUCACCUGGAGUAUCUUACAUGGAAAGCAGCACCUGAGACAGCUUUCCAUCCAGCUGUGUCACCUUUAUCCAAUUUCAAGGAGUCAAAUUAUGUCCAAGUCAUGUUUGAUAUAUACAACAUUUUCACUAACACUGAAUGAUUACUUGAUUUUACUAUGUGCCUGGAAAAUGCCUAAUAACCCCCCUUGAAAGGUUUUUAGUCACAUACUAAUUUCAGUGUCUUUAGUUUACCAGGCUCUUUCAGGAGAUCAAGUUGAACACUGACCAGGCUAAGAAUGGGGUUUAUAUUUAUUUAAAAUAUGUGUGCAUUUACUCCAGGUCAGACCCCUUGUUAUAUAUAUUUUUUGAAUAAAUUUAAUUCCUCUGAGCAUUACUGUGAGCAGACUGAAUUUGUUUGCUGUGCUUUUGUUUCAGAAUCAAUUUUCCAUCAUUUGCUCAUUUUAUACGAAUCACUCACUCCCCAAUUUGUGCUUGUAUAUCGCACACCUUUGGUCGCUGCAAAUUCAAUGAUUCGAUGCAGUCAGACGUCCUUACUAUAAAAACUUUUUGCCAACCGACAUCAUUCUAAACUGAAUUUGACUGUACUUUAUGACAGCUACGUACCGUCACUUGGAUCAAAUGAGAAUGCACGUCUUUGAAUCUAUUUCUGUCCUUCCGAUUGGACUGAUACGAGCAUAUAUUUCUGUGUACAAGACAAAUCUGUUAGUGUCAACGUGCCUUCAGGUGAGAAUUAUUGUGGACUGCUGCCGUAUAGAUGAGGCGAAUUGAACUGAAUAGGUUGUAGUCUGUGGAGUGAAGGCGCUACACACUUUUAUUUUUAUGCUCCUCUCAUUUCAGACCGAAAAAAGAUUUGAAGGAUUCCUCUUAAAUCCCCAACUGACCGUCCUCUGUGCGAGGUGGAGGAGAGAGCAGUAUUGAUCAGCUGACCUGGCUCCUUGACUGUUAACGCCUGAGCAGCCUUGAAGAAAACACCAGAAUCUUGAUAAGGUGCCAGCCCGACGGCAGCUCUUAUCCUUACCUCCAGGAUUACCUGGCCUUCUAGGUGCAGCCUGCAGGCCCUCCUUCCCUCCAGCAUCACCUGAGCUGCACACAUAACUACGGCGGCGGAGUGAGAUGGACGCCAGAUUGAGGCUAAACUGCGGCCCCCCUCUCCAUUGCAAGCACCCAAAAUUAGAUAUAGGUAAACAGACACUGGUUGCUCUAUACCCGUAGCAACUGCAACGCAGAGUUGAGUGCGAGUGAAUGUGCAGCUACACUCCGGUGAGAUCAAUAUCCCACAGGGUAGAGCACAAACAUCGCAGUCAUUCGUCAAUCUAUAACACUGCUGCUCCUCUGCCCUCUAACCACUACUAUGAACAGGGCAUUAUGAUGUUAGACUGGACUGGACUGUGCAUUAUGAAUGAGAGUGGAGAAAACUGUAACCAAGCACGAUCCCUGAAUUUAACCAUUGCGCUGCGCCUCCAGUCUGAGAGCAAUGAGGGGGGGAAGAGGUAUGAAACAGAUUGAACAUCAGUGGGAAAAGAGGUGAAAUGGGAAGAAAUAAAAACUGAUCAAGAUGGAAAUGAGACAGGUGAGAAAUGAGGAAGAGUUGGGAAAUAAUUUAUUUAUACAUUUUUCAGGGAUGAGGGGGGAAAGGUG